rnacentral:rRNA from 1 species
UACGGAGGGAGCUAGCGUUGUUCGGAAUUACUGGGCGUAAAGCGCACGUAGGCGGCUUUGUAAGUUAGAGGUGAAAGUCCAGGGCUCAACCCUGGAAAGCGGGUGGAUACUGCCGGGCUAGAGUCCGGAAGAGGCGAGUGGAAUUCCUGGUGUAGCGGUGGAAUGCGCAGAUAUCAGGAGGAACACCAAUAGCGAAGGCAGCUCGCUGGGACGGUAUUGACGCUAAGGCGCGAAAGCGUGGGGAGCAAACAGG